GUGGGUGUAGCUCAGUUGGUUAGAGCGUCAGUCUGUGGCACUGAAGGUCGGGGGUUCAAUUCCCCUCACUCACC
rnacentral:tRNA from 4 species